rnacentral:siRNA from 1 species
CAUAUCUCUAGGAAAUGUAUGGCC